UCGCUUUUAGUUGAAGUCGCAUAAAAUUAGCAUCAAAACUAAUAAAUACUAUAAAAUAUGAGAAUUUGAGCCCAGUGGGCCCAUGCAACUUAGCUCUGUCUGGAUCGGAGUGAAAACGGAAUCAUGUCGGGAUAAGCCAAUCUCCGACGACCACAAGAGAAACGGUUCCUCUCUACUACAAGGGAUAUAAAUGAAUUCUGAACAAGGAAACAUACUAAACAAAAUUUAAUCAUCUGUUACUUCUUGUUUGCUUUGCUUCUUCCCUUUCUCUAUAUUGAAUCUGAACUCGUCGUCUCUCUUGCCUCCGAUCUCUCUAUUUCUGUUUCGCCGUGGAUCGAGAUGGAGAGCUUACCGACGACUGUAUCGUCCAAACCAGACAGGAGAGGAAAGUCUUCCAAGUCUCAAAACACCUCCAAGCCUUCUCUCAUCAUGGCCUUCUUCUCUAGUCUUGCUUGGCCCGUACGUCUCAUUUAUUUCCAGGGACUAAUCAAAUCUCACUGAUUCUAGAUUUGUUAUUGACAAUGCGUAACGUACUCGACAUUUUAUACUUUUGAGGGGUUGGUGAUCGUGAUUGAAUCACUUGUCCAUAGAAAAAUUAUGAACUGGUUGGUCUUUCUUCUGCUUCUCUUCAAUCAAUCUUUCAAGAGAAUGUUUCAUUCCUCAAUCCGAACUUUUUUUUAAUUGUCUGAUCAUGUGCUUGUUGAGUGUAGAGGCCUAAGGCUCUUACGGUUACUAAAAGAUAAAGAACACAAUGCUACAAAUUUCAACUUCUUAGUCACCGGUUUCAUCAUGAAUUUUAAUAAUACACAAUGAAACGUAAUUUUAAAAGAUCAACUACAAACCUAUUCACUACCAUCCUCACCCUCAACUUCAUAAUUAAUCUCUGAAUAUCUUCCUUUAAACAUCGUUACUACAAAUCACAACAACUCAAAUAACAACCAAUCAUUAGAACUGAAAGAAGAGAGAAGAAAUUAUAAUUUCGUGGUUGGCAAACAUUGUCUUCUUUUUGUCCCCUGCAAAAAAACUUAAGGAGGCAUCAUAACUGUACAACACACAUCUCCAGCGAGCUUUGGAUUGUUUGCAUGGAGAAUGUUAAACUCUACUAAGAAGCUGCAAAUAUACGUCCCGGUAUCAAAAAUCAAGCUGCUAAACGUUUUUGAUAAUGACUGAACGUCAUCAAAUAACUGAUGCUUUAAUACAAAAAAUCGUCUAAAUGUAUACUUACCUCAUCAUAUAUUUAACUUCCCUCACAGGGGUGACAUUGCUGCUGCCAAACAUUUUACUCCACCUCUUCCUCUUCAUUAGCAUGCUCUGCAAUGUAUUCUCUCUGUAAAAUGUUUACCUCUAGAAAUAGAAAAUUAGCAAAGAAAGAAAUUUAAGAAUACCAUCCAAAUCUUCUGCGCAUAAAGAAGCAACCCAAUUAAAGGAACACAUGGAGUCAUGGAGAUAACUAUAACAUCCUCACCCUUUUUCCUGGCAAAAUGAAACUGUUUCGUUAAGCCAAGAGGUGACUGCAGGGAAAAAACUUUUAAAGCUUCUAAUUUUCUCCAUGGCUUCAUCUGAGCUGCAUUCAAGCUGUUCAGCAAGACUGUUUGAACCCAUUCCAUAAAGAAUUCCAUAGAUCAAUCUUUUGGUCUGAUCUCUAUCAUGUGGACUAACAGAAUCCUCGGUCUUCCCAGUCCAUUUGGCAGCUAUCAUCGUAAAGACAUCACCUUCUGACUGACUAAGCAGUGACGCUUUCUUCAUUCAAUGAGCUUGAUUCAACCUACCCAUAAAAACCAAACCAAACCGAGGCACAUAUUCAUGAAAACACCAGAGUCGAAUAGGUACAAUGUUAAAACACUCACUGACUUCUUCUUUUUCUUUAGUUCAGUCAGUGACCAUCAAAGGCAUCAUUAGCUGCAGGGAAACAAAUGUAGACAGUAACAUACAAACACCACUGACAGAAACAAAACAAAAAGCAAUUUUACGGACUCGUCAACAUACCAAGGUGAAAGUGUGAGCUAAGGAUUAAAAUUAUUUUAAACUACACAAUCACACAAAUCAAUUUAAGAAAAAACAAAGUAACUUUUCUAGAUAACGGGACGAUACCAAGGAUGACUCAAGUUACACUACAUGCGAUUUUGACUCAAAGAUUGAAGCAAAAGAAAUACCUUGGAUUCAUAGAAUUAGAAGAUUAGGUGAUGACCAGAUGACGCAAGGAUUGCUAGAACGUCGUUCUUGCGCUAUGCGAACCUUGAAAUUGUGUCAAGAUUACAUCUCCUUGAACUCAAUUUGCCCAUUUUCAGUUGUUCCCUGAAAAACAUAAAGUAGAAAGCGUAAGCGUAAGAGGAAGGGAAAAAAGAAACAAACGGUGUGGUUCUCUUGCGUUUAGAGGUCAAUAAUUGUGUAAAUGCAAAUUUUGAGCGUAUAGCCUUAGUCACCCGCAUCCAUUUCCUGCAAAAUUAGAGACCCAAAACUUGUUGUCCAAAAAAAAAAAGACCCAAAACUUUAAAGCUAAUAACAAACUCUACAAAAGACCACAGCUUUCAUUUAAAAAACAAAGCAAACAAACUGAAACUGCAUUGCUCACAUUCGGUUUGGAUUGUUUUAUCAUCAAAACAGAGAUUGAAAGUUUAAAAACCUGACAAACCAGAUGAUGAAUCUUGUCCUGUAAAGCUUCAUCUCUUCCUUUUACACGUCCAACAACCUAAACACCAGAUCAAGAGCUUUCAAAAACCAAACCACCUAUCUGAAACAGAGGAAGUGAAAUCGUGAAUUAGAAGUAGGAAACUUUAACCGUAAACUCCGAAUCCUCAACCGUAAGCUCCACCAAUGAUGGAGCUCGAACUCCUCCAUCUCCCUCAAUUCUUUCAACUGCUUGUUCUUACUCAUUCCUAACAAUCUCACAAUAUUAUUAAAGAUCAAACAUAAAAAGAUCACAGACAGACAACUCCUACGAACACACUUUUCAAAGAAAGCUUUACGGAUGAUGCUUUGUACGUACCAGGAGCAAGGCGUUGAGUGACUUACCAAAUAUUAAGGAGUGACUUACAUUGGUAACGACUUGUUUUCCCCGGAGGCGAUGAAGAGCUCUGGUGGUUCUAGUGAGAGGAUUUUUUUCGUGAAUCUACCAGUCUUAUAUAGUGAGUAAGGAGAGAGAAGGAAGCUGAAAAGAUUAAUAAAGAAUAAAAGAUUUGUAACCGGUGAAAGUGUUGGUCUGCAGAGGGAGACUAAGGGGAAGAAGACCAAGGAGGGAUUGGAAACGGCGUAGGAUUGAAAAGGUGUGAGAGAAAAGUGACUUGGUGAUGUGUAUAUUGUUUUAGUAACUUGACAAUUUAGAGUUUCCUGAUUGGUCUUAAUUUCCAAUGUGACGUGGAAAGAUCUAAUGUACAUUAUUAUCGCUUUUAGUUGAAGUCGCAUAAAAUUAGCAUCAAAACUAAUAAAUACUAUAAAAUAUGAGAAUUUGAGCCCAGUGGGCCCAUGCAACUUAGCUCUGUCUGGAUCGGAGUGAAAACGGAAUCAUGUCGGGAUAAGCCAAUCUCCGACGACCACAAGAGAAACGGUUCCUCUCUACUACAAGGGAUAUAAAUGAAUUCUGAACAAGGAAACAUACUAAACAAAAUUUAAUCAUCUGUUACUUCUUGUUUGCUUUGCUUCUUCCCUUUCUCUAUAUUGAAUCUGAACUCGUCGUCUCUCUUGCCUCCGAUCUCUCUAUUUCUGUUUCGCCGUGGAUCGAGAUGGAGAGCUUACCGACGACUGUAUCGUCCAAAUCAGACAGGAGAGGAAGGUCUUCCAAGUCUCAAAACACCUCCAAGCCUUCUCUCAUCAUGGCCUUCUUCUCUUGUCUUGCUUGGCC
rnacentral:lncRNA from 1 species